rnacentral:tRNA from 1 species
GGCUAUAGCGCAGCUGGUAGCGCAUCUCCAUGGCAUGGAGAGGGUCGGGGGUUCGAAUCC